UACGUAGGGCGCAAGCGUUAUCCGGAAUUAUUGGGCGUAAAGAGCUCGUAGGUGGUUUGUCGCGUUGUUCGUGAAAACUCACAGCUCAACUGUGGGCGUGCGGGCGAUACGGGCAGACUAGAGUACUGCAGGGGAGACUGGAAUUCCUGGUGUAGCGGUAGGAAUGCGCAGAUAUCAGGAAGAACACCUAUGGCGAAGGCGGGUCUCUGGGCCGUAACUGACGCUGAGGAGCGAAAGCGUGGGGAGCGAACAGG
rnacentral:rRNA from 1 species